GAAUUGCGAUAAGUAAUGUGAAUUGCAGAUUUCCAGUGAAUCAUCGAAUCUUUGAACGCAUCUUGCGCUCCUUGGUAUUCCGAGGAGCAUGCCUGUUUGAGUGUCAUUUAAUCAUCAACCGUCAUUCUUUAGGGAAUGAUGGCUUGGAGUUGGGAGUUGCUGGCGGGUCCGUCAGCUCUUCUUAAAAGCAUUAGCGACUAUCAAGUCUUUCGACAUGCACGGCCAUCGACGUGAUAAUGAUCGUCGUGGCUGGAGUGUCUUUCCUAGACUAUCGCUUCUAACAAAAGAGAUCCUUGAUCUUUAUUCAAGCUUAGCUACUAGGCAGUCUUUCAAGGCUGGCGAACACAAGCGAGAGAAAGGGAGAGGAUCGAAGUCGACAUUGACGUAAAUCCUAAUCCUGAUCUGAUGCUUGAUCAGCUUAGUUACUAGGCAGUCUUGGACUGGCGAAAGCAAGCGAGAUCGAGAGAGAAGGGCAAGGAUAUGGUAGUCAAGGUUGAUUGUAAUCAUGACUUGACCUCAAAUCAGGUAGGACUACCCGCUGAACUUAA
rnacentral:rRNA from 1 species